rnacentral:rRNA from 1 species
UACGUAGGGGGCUAGCGUUGUCCGGAAUCAUUGGGCGUAAAGCGCGUGUAGGCGGUCCGGUAAGUCCGCUGUGAAAGUCGGGGGCUCAACCCUCAGAUGCCGGUGGAUACUGUCGGGCUUGAGUACGGAAGAGGCGAGUGGAAUUCCUGGUGUAGCGGUGAAAUGCGCAGAUAUCAGGAGGAACACCAAUUGCGAAGGCAGCUCGCUGGGACGUUACUGACGCUGAGGCACGAAAGCGUGGGGAGCAAACAGG